rfam:Oryza rufipogon genomic scaffold, chr06
CCUCCGUCCCACAAAGAAUCUAUUUUUCAAUUUUUGAUACGACUAUUCGUCUUAUUUAAAAACUUUUUAUGAUUAAUAUUUUUAUUAUUGUUAGAUGAUAAAGCAUGAAUAGUAAUUUAUGCAUGACUAUUUUGUAAAACAAUUUUUGUAAUUUUUUUAAAUAAGACGAACGGUCAAACGUUUGAGACAGAAACC